rnacentral:rRNA from 1 species
CGGUUGAUCCUGCCGGAGGUCACUGCUAUCGGGGUUCGAUUAAGCCAUGCGAGUUGAGAGGGUUCAGACCCUCGGCAGACUGCUCAGUAACACGUGGAUAACCUGCCCUAAGGUGGAGGAUAACCCCGGGAAACUGGGGAUAAUACUCCAUAGAUUAUAGAUACUGGAAUGUUUUAUAGUCGAAAGCUCCGGCGCCUUAGGAUGGAUCUGCGGCCGAUUUGGUUGUUGUUGGGGUAACGGCCCAACAAGCCUGUAAUCGGUACGGGUUGUGGGAGCAAGAGCCCGGAGAUGGAAUCUGAGACACAAUUCCAAGCCCUACGGGGCGCAGCAGGCGCGGAAACUUUACAAUGCAGGAAACUGUGAUAAGGGAACCCCGAGUGCCCGUAUAUGCGGGCUGUCCAGGUGUUUCAAACGCAUCUGAAGAAAGGGCCGGGCAAGACCGGUGCCAGCCGCCGCGGUAAUACCGGCGGCUCGAGUGGUGGCCACUUUUAUUGGGCUUAAAGCGUCCGUAGCUGGAUUGAUAAGUCUCCUGGGAAAUCCGCCGGCUUAACCGGUGGGCGUCCGGGAGAUACUGUCAAUCUAGGGACCGGGAGAGGUGAGAGGUACUCCGGGGGUAGGAGUGAAAUCCUGUAGUCCCCGGGGGACCACCUGUGGCGAANGCGUCUCACCAGAACGGCUCCGACAGUGAGGGACGAAAGCUGGGGGANCGAACCGGANUAGAUACCCGGGUAGUCCCAGCCGUAAACGAUGCGCGUUANGUGUACCGGUGACCAUGAGUUACCGGGGUGCCGAANGGAAANCCGUGAAACGUGCCGCCUGGGAAGUACGGUCGCNANGGCUGAAACUUAAAGGAAUUNGGCGGGGGAGCACAAGGGCGAANU